GUGAAUUUGAAAUGAAAGAGAUUUGAAAAGAGUAUAGAGUGUAAGGAGCCUGGAUACUUACUCGUUUAGUCUGAAUCGAGGAGGGGAGGGUGCAUGUGUGGCUGAAGUUCAAUGGGUAUGGUGAAACUGCACAUGGAUAGAGUUUGAAACCUACUCCAGACGUGGACAGGUAUUUGUGAGCGUGUGGGUCACCUAGCAAAUGUAACUGUUGUGGCCAAUGUGAAAUUGUGUGUCCUAUCCAUGCGAUUAGGGAAUCAUUUUCGCCUCUCCUCGAUGACGAUAUAAACGACAUUGCGCGAUGAAACCUUAGAUGUGAUAUUCUGAAUAUAUUGUGAUAUUUCGAGUUUAGAUGUGAUAUCCGAGUGGUU
rnacentral:lncRNA from 1 species